rnacentral:rRNA from 1 species
AACGAACGCUGGCGGCGUGGAUAAGACAUGCAAGUCGAACGAUUACUGGUGGGUAGCAAUAUUCGCUAGUGAGAGUGGCGCAAGGGUGCGUAACACGUGGGUAAUUUGCCGUGAAGUCUGGGAUAACUUGCUGAAAGGCGAGCUAAUACCGGAUGUGAUUACUGGAAGGCAUCUUCUGGUACUUAAAGUCGGGGACCGUAAGGCCUGACGCUUCUCGAUAAGCCCGCGGCCUAUCAGCUAGUUGGUGAGGUAACGGCUCACCAAGGCUAAGACGGGUAGCUGGUCUGAGAGGACGACCAGCCACACUGGAACUGAGACACGGUCCAGACACCUACGGGUGGCAGCAGUCGAGAAUUUUUCNCAAUGGGCGAAAGCCUGAAGGAGCGACGCCGCGUGGGGGAUGAAUGGCUUCGGCCCGUAAACCCCUGUCAUUUGCGAUCAAACCUCACGACCUAACACGUCGUGAGCUGAUAGUAGCGGAAGAGGAAGGGACGGCUAACU